rnacentral:rRNA from 1 species
UACAGAGGCCUCGAGCGUUAGGCGGAAUCACUGGGCUUAAAGCGCGUGUAGGCGGAUCGUUAAGUGUCUUGUGAAAUCCCACGGCUCAACCGUGGAACUGCUGGGCAUACUGGCGAUCUUGGGCCACUCAGGGGCGACCGGAACAAGCGGUGGAGCGGUGAAAUGCGUAGAUAUCGCCUGGAACGCCGACGGGGAAAGCAGCUCGCUGGGGGUGUGCUGACGCUGAGACCCGAAAGCCAGGGGAGCGAACGGG